rnacentral:rRNA from 1 species
AUACGAAGGGGGCUAGCGUUGCUCGGAAUUACUGGGCGUAAAGCGCACGUAGGCGGAUUGUUAAGUCGGGGGUGAAAUCCUGGAGCUCAACUCCAGAACUGCCUUCGAUACUGGCGAUCUCGAGUCCGGGAGAGGUGAGUGGAACUGCGAGUGUAGAGGUGAAAUUCGUAGAUAUUCGCAAGAACACCAGUGGCGAAGGCGGCUCACUGGCCCGGUACUGACGCUGAGGUGCGAAAGCGUGGGGAGCAAACA